rnacentral:rRNA from 1 species
AGUCGUAACAAGGCUUUCCGUAGGUGAACCUGCGGAAGGAUCAUUA